rnacentral:rRNA from 1 species
AUGCCUUAAUACAUGCAAGUCGAACGCUUCUUUCCUCCCGAGUGCUUGCACUCAAUUGGAAAGAGGAGUGGCGGACGGGUGAGUAACACGUGGGUAACCUACCCAUCAGAGGGGGAUAACACUUGGAAACAGGUGCUAAUACCGCAUAACAGUUUAUGCCGCAUGGCAUAAGAGUGAAAGGCGCUUUCGGGUGUCGCUGAUGGAUGGACCCGCGGUGCAUUAGCUAGUUGGUGAGGUAACGGCUCACCAAGGCCACGAUGCAUAGCCGACCUGAGAGGGUGAUCGGCCACACUGGGACUGAGACACGGCCCAGACUCCUACGGGAGGCAGCAGUAGGGAAUCUUCGGCAAUGGACGAAAGUCUGACCGAGCAACGCCGCGUGAGUGAAGAAGGUUUUCGGAUCGUAAAACUCUGUUGUUAGAGAAGAACAAGGACGUUAGUAACUGAACGUCCCCUGACGGUAUCUAACCAGAAAGCCACGGCUAACUACGUGCCAGCAGCCGCGGUAAUACGUAGGUGGCAAGCGUUGUCCGGAUUUAUUGGGCGUAAAGCGAGCGCAGGCGGUUUCUUAAGUCUGAUGUGAAAGCCCCCGGCUCAACCGGGGAGGGUCAUUGGAAACUGGGAGACUUGAGUGCAGAAGAGGAGAGUGGAAUUCCAUGUGUAGCGGUGAAAUGCGUAGAUAUAUGGAGGAACACCAGUGGCGAAGGCGGCUCUCUGGUCUGUAACUGACGCUGAGGCUCGAAAGCGUGGGGAGCAAACAGGAUUAGAUACCCUGGUAGUCCACGCCGUAAACGAUGAGUGCUAAGUGUUGGAGGGUUUCCGCCCUUCAGUGCUGCAGCAAACGCAUUAAGCACUCCGCCUGGGGAGUACGACCGCAAGGUUGAAACUCAAAGGAAUUGACGGGGGCCCGCACAAGCGGUGGGAGCAUGUGGUU